rnacentral:rRNA from 1 species
GAUGAACGCUGGCGGCGUGCCUAAUACAUGCAAGUCGAGCGAACAGAUGAGGAGCUUGCUCCUCUGACGUUAGCGGCGGACGGGUGAGUAACACGUGGAUAACCUACCUAUAAGACUGGGAUAACUUCGGGAAACCGGAGCUAAUACCGGAUAAUAUAUUGAACCGCAUGGUUCAAUAGUGAAAGACGGUUUUGCUGUCACUUAUAGAUGGAUCCGCGCCGCAUUAGCUAGUUGGUAAGGUAACGGCUUACCAAGGCAACGAUGCGUAGCCGACCUGAGAGGGUGAUCGGCCACACUGGAACUGAGACACGGUCCAGACUCCUACGGGAGGCAGCAGUAGGGAAUCUUCCGCAAGGGGCGAAAGCUUGACGGAGCAACGCCGCGUGAGUGAUGAAGGUCUUCGGAUCGUAAAACUCUGUUAUUAGGGAAGAACAAAUGUGUAAGUAACUAUGCACGUCUUGACGGUACCUAAGCAGAAAGCCACGGCUAACUACGU